UACAGAGGGGGCAAGCGUUAUUCGGAAUUAUUGGGCGUAAAGGGCGCGUAGGCGGCUUUUCAAGUGACGGGUGAAAUCCCUCGGCUUAACCGAGGAACUGCCUGUCAGACUGGAAGGCUUGAGACCGGGAGAGGUGAGUGGAAUUCCAGGUGUAGCGGUGAAAUGCGUAGAUAUCUGGAGGAACACCGGUGGCGAAGGCGGCAUCCUGGACCAAUACUGACGCUGAGGAGCGAAAGCCAGGGGAGCAAACGGG
rnacentral:rRNA from 1 species